rnacentral:rRNA from 1 species
AAGUCGUAACAAGGUUUCCGUAGGUGAACCUGCGGAAGGAUCAUUAUCGAAAUUAUUGGUGAGGGUUGUAGCUGGCCUUUCGAGGCAUGUGCACGCUCGAGCCCUUAAUCCACUUUACACCUGUGCACUUAAUGUAGGUCGCCCUUAAAAAAGGUGACCUAUGUCUUAUCAUCAACCCAUCGUAUGUCUCAUAGAAUGUAAUCGAUAUCCUCGCCCUAAAAAAGCGUUGAUAAACUUAUACAACUUUCAACAACGGAUCUCUUGGCUCUCGCAUCGAUGAAGAACGCAGCGAAAUGCGAUAAGUAAUGUGAAUUGCAGAUUUUCAGUGAAUCAUCGAAUCUUUGAACGCACCUUGCGCUCCUUGGUAUUCCGAGGAGCAUGCCUGUUUGAGUGUCAUUAAAUUCUCAACUCCAAGGGUUUCACGACCUUUCGGAGAUUGGACUUGGAGGUGCUGGCCGCAUAUUGGUCGGCUCCUCUCAAAUGCAUCAGCGGAAUUCAACCUUUGGCUUCCGGAUGUCAGUGUGAUAAUCAUGUUGCGCUGUCGUUUGAUCCCUCAGAGUCCGCUUAUAAUGGUCUUCGGACAAAAUCAUCAUCAAAUUUGACCUCAAAUCAGGUAGGACUACCCGCUGAACUUAA